rnacentral:rRNA from 1 species
CCUACGGGAGGCAGCAGUGGGGAAUAUUGCACAAUGGGGGAAACCCUGAUGCAGCGACGCCGCGUGAGUGAAGAAGUAAUUCGUUAUGUAAAGCUCUAUCAGCAGGGAAGAAAAUGACGGUACCUGAGUAAGAAGCCCCGGCUAACUCCGUGCCAGCAGCCGCGGUAAUACGUAGGGGGCAAGCGUUAUCCGGAUUUACUGGGUGGAAAGGGAGCGUAGACGGCAGUGCAAGUCUGGAGUGAAAGGCGGGGGCUCAACCCCCGGACUGCUCUGGAAACUGUACGGCUGGAGUGCAGGAGAGGUAAGUGGAAUGCCUAGUGUAGCGGUGAAAUGCGUAGAUAUUAGGAGGAACACCAGUGGCGAAGGCGGCUUACUGGACUGUAACUGACGUUGAGGCUCGAAAGCGUGGGGAGCAAACAGGAUUAGAUACCCUAGUAGUC